GUUGAACGCUGGCGGCGUGCCUAACACAUGCAAGUCGAGCGAGGCGGGGACGGGUGAGUAACACGUGGAUAACCUCCUAUAAGACUGGGAUAAUUUCGGGAAACCGGAGCUAAACCAGCUCCUUAUAGAUGGAUCGGCGCUGCAUUAGCUAGUUGGUAAGGUAACGGCUUACCAAGGCAACGAUGCAUAGCCGACCGGAGAGGGGGAUCGGCCACACUGGAACUGAGACACGGUCCAGACGCCUACGGGAGGCAGCAGUGGGGAAUAUUCCGCAAUGGGCGAAAGCCUGACGUAGCAACGCCGCGUGUGUGAUGAAGGUCUUCGGAUCGUAAAACACUGUUAUUAGGGAGGCGGUACCUAAUCAGGAAGCCACGGCUAACUACGUGCCAGCCGCCGCGGUAAUAC
rnacentral:rRNA from 1 species